GGCGCGGGGCGGGGCGGGGCGCGGCCGGCGGGCCGGAAGCGGCGCGGCGGUGUUAAAGCCCCGUCGCCGGCUGUGCGUCUCCCCCGGCGCGGCCCGGCCCCGGUGGCGGCGGCGGUCAUGGCCACGGACGCGCGGGCCCGCGCCAAGCGAUACGAGAAGCUCGACUUCUUGGGGGAGGGACAGUUUGCUACCGUCUAUAAAGCGAGGGAUAAGAACACCAACCAAAUCGUGGCUAUUAAAAAGAUUAAACUGGGACAUAGAUCAGAAGCUAAAGAUGGAAUCAACAGAACAGCCCUCAGGGAGAUAAAAUUGUUGCAGGAACUAAGCCAUACGAAUAUUAUUGGUCUUCUAGAUGCAUUUGGGCACAAGUCCAAUAUUAGCUUGGUAUUUGAUUUUAUGGAAACGGAUCUCGAGGUUAUUAUAAAGGAUACCAGUAUUGUGUUGACACAAUCUCACAUCAAGGCAUAUAUGUUGAUGACGCUUCAAGGAUUAGAAUAUUUACAUCAGCACUGGAUUCUACAUAGGGAUCUUAAACCAAAUAAUUUGUUGUUAGAUGAAAAUGGGGUUUUAAAAUUGGCUGACUUCGGCUUGGCAAAAUCUUUUGGAAGCCCAAAUAGAGUUUAUACACACCAAGUAGUAACAAGGUGGUACCGAGCCCCAGAACUACUGUUUGGUGCUAGAAUGUAUGGUGUUGGUGUCGAUAUGUGGGCUGUUGGUUGUAUUUUAGCUGAAUUGCUCCUCAGGGUUCCUUUUUUGCCUGGAGACUCUGAUCUUGACCAGCUGACACGGAUAUUUGAAACGCUGGGCACUCCAACAGAAGAACAGUGGCCUGGUAUGACCAGUCUUCCAGAUUAUGUCGCAUUUAAGUCUUUCCCUGGAAUGCCACUUCAGCAUAUCUUUAGCGCAGCUGGUGAUGAUUUGCUCAAUCUUCUGCAAGGCUUGUUCAUUUUCAAUCCUUGUACAAGGGUUACAGCUACUCAGGCAUUGAAACAGAAGUAUUUCAGCAACCGACCAGGACCCACUCCAGGAAAUCAGCUGCCAAGACCCAAUUGUCCCGCAGAAGUUGUAAAGGAGCAACAAAAUGCACUUUUAAAUGUAAAAAGGAAAAGAACAGAAGGAAUAGAUCAAGGAUAAAUGCUUUAGGGUGGGAAUGACUUCCUUCUGUGUUCUAACUUCUAAAUGAAGCCUCCAGUCUUCCGCAAACAGCAGCAUGUACUUCAUAUCUUCACGGCAAGAAAAGCUCUGAGGACUCGAGACCUAUAUCUGACACUAAAUUACUCAGACCUUCCAGUACAGAGGGAAAUACUGGUUCUUAAACUUGGAGUUGAUCUUAACAGCUGGAAUAUGCUAGAUAGCAGCUGUCAGGAUUACCAAAAAAAUUGAUUUUUUGAUUGCCGUGGAUGGUGGAUGAAAAUGGCCCAACUCCGAACAAUUGAAAAACGCUGUAAUAGUCACUGGAUGGUUAUUUUGUAAUAUUUUCAUAUGUAAAAUCUGAAUUUAAUAUUUUCUUGCUGAAACUGAGGUUUAUUAACCCUACUUUUUUUUCCUAAAUAAAAGUAUUUGUAAGCAAAAUAAGAUUCCUUUCUCUGUUUUACUGUCUCAUUACUUUGACUUAUGCUGUGAGGUAGUAACUGUCAGAAGUGCUUGCUGGCUACAGAUCUACACAGACUAAUUUUGCAGAACCCUUAUGCUGAACCACAUGCUGUUCUGUACAGAUGCACACCCUAAGGAGGAAAACGGCAAAUACAGCCUUCUCACCUGGAGCUUAGAUGUACGUGUGAUUGCCAGCCCUAUAAUAAAUGUUGGAAAAAACUGCAUCAUUUUAAGGGGAAGGCAGGAUGCUUUUUUGUUCCAGUUAAUAUGCCAAUGUAAUAACAAAUGAGUUUGCAUGUGCUCUCUCAAUGAGCAUUAAGACUUUCCAGGGACACAUCCACUAUAUUGAAAACAAUAUGAUCCAGAGAUUGAACGUGAAGUAUUGAGGGGUUGGUUUUGUUGCACACUCCAGUCUUCCGGGAGAAAUUGUCUGAGAGC